rnacentral:other from 1 species
CUGUCCCUGCCCUGUGCGUGUUUUAGGAUGAUAAACUUGAGCCAACAGUUAUCAAAAGGGGACUAGGAGUUUACCUCGGCUGCGGUCGUGGUAACAGGUCCCCACCUGGGAAACCGGGUUCAAGGUCUAUCAUCUGCACGGCAGUGGCGGGGAUUUC